CCUUGUCCCCAGUCCCUCUCCAGCUCUCCUGGAGCCCCUUUGGGCCCUGGAAGAGGCUCUGAGCUCUCCCUGGAGCCUUCUCCUCUCCAGAAAACCUCUGAUGUGGGCUGGCUUUCCCAGGGAAGUGCCUCUCUGCUCUCUGGUGUCCCUGGGGAAUGGCAGUUCAGAGCAAGCUGUGUGCCACGGAGGUCAAUGGCUGCUGAGGGAAAAGCCUCCAGGAAUGCAGAGUGUUUGUCCCAAGCACCUCUGGGUG